UACGUAGGUGGCAAGCGUUGUCCGGAAUUAUUGGGCGUAAAGCGCGCGCAGGUGGUUUCUUAAGUCUGAUGUGAAAGCCCACGGCUCAACCGUGGAGGGUCAUUGGAAACUGGGGAACUUGAGUGCAGGAGAGGAAAGUGGAAUUCCAAGUGUAGCGGUGAAAUGCGUAGAGGUUUGGAGGAACACCAGUGGCGAAGGCGACUUUCUGGUCUGUAACUGACACUGAGGCGCGAAAGCGUGGGGAGCGAACAGG
rnacentral:rRNA from 1 species